GCCGAAGUGGCGGAACUGGUAUACGCGCACGGUUCAGAACCGUGUCUCGCAAGAGUUGUGGGUUCAAAUCCCACCUUCGGUA
rnacentral:tRNA from 4 species